rnacentral:lncRNA from 1 species
GCAAUGAAGAGCUAAUCUGGCAGCCCUGUUCUGAGCAAUGAAGAGCUAAUCUGGCAGCCCUGUUCUGAGCAAUGAAGAGCUAAUCUGGCAGCCCUGUUCUGAGCAAUGAAGGGCUUAUCUGGCAGCCCUGUUCUGAGCAAUGAAGGGCUAAUCUGGCAGCCCUGUUCUGAGCAAUGAAGAGCUAAUCUGGCAGCCCUGUUCUGAGCAAUGAAGGGCUAAUCUGGCAGCCCUGUUCUGAGCAAUGAAGAGCUAAUCUGGCAGCCCUGUUCUGAGCAAUGAAGAGCUAAUCUGGCAGCCCUGUUCUGAGCAAUGAAGGGCUAAUCUGGCAGCCCUGUUCUGACCAAUGAAGGGCUAAUCUGGCAGCCCUGUUCUGAGCAAUGAAGGGCUUAUCUGGCAGCCCUGUUCUGAGCAAUGAAGGGCUAAUCUGGCAGCCCUGUUCUGAGCAAUGAAGGGCUAAUCUGGCAACCCUGUUCUGAGCAAUGAAGGGCUAAUCUGGCAGCCCUGUUCUGAGCAAUGAAGAGCUAAUCUGGCAGCCCUGUUCUGAGCAAUGAAGGGCUUAUCUGGCAGCCCUGUUCUGAGCAAUGAAGGGCUAAUCUGGCAGCCCUGUUCUGAGCAAUGAAGGGCUAAUCUGGCAGCCCUGUUCUGAGCAAUGAAGGGCUAAUCUGGCAGCCCUGUUCUGAGCAAUGAAGAGCGAAUCUGGCAGCCCUGUUCUGAGCAAUGAAGGGUUAAUGUGGCAGCCCUGUUUUGAGCAAUUUUGAGCUUUUUUAUAUAUUUCUUUACUGCAGAUGACCAUAUAACUGGACAGUACUCUAAGUGUAACAGUACCAGGGAUUGACCAUAUAACUGGACAGUACUCUAAAUGUGAUUGGACCAGGGAUUGACCAUAUAACUGGACAGUACUCUAAGUGUGAUUGGACCAGGGAUUGACCAUAUAACUGGACAAUACUCUGUGUGAUUGGACCAGGGAUUGACCAUAUAACUGGGCAGUACUCUAAGUUUGAUUGGACCAGGGAUUGACCAUAUAACUGGACAGUACUCUAAGUGUAACAGUACCAGGGAUUGACCAUAUAACUGGACAGUACUCUAAGUGUGACAAGACCAGGGAUUGACCAUAUAACUGGACAGUACUCUAAGUGUGACAGGACCAGGGAUUGACCAUAUAACUGGACAAUACUCUGUGUGAUUGGACCAGGGAUUGACCAUAUAACUGGGCAGUACUCUAAGUGUAACAGGACCAGGGAUUGACCAUAUAACUGGACAGUACUCUAAGUGUGAUUGGACCAGGGAUUGACCAUAUAACUGGACAGUACUCUAAGUGUGAUUGGACCAGGGAUUGACCAUAUAACUGGACAGUACUCUAAGUGUGAUUGGACCAGGGAUAGACCAUAUAACUGGACAGUACUCUAAGUGUAAUAGGACCAGGGAUUGACCAUAUAACUGGACAGUACUCUAAGUGUAACAGGACCAGGGAUUGACCAUAUAACUGGACAGUACUCUAAGUGUGACCAUAUAACUGGACAGUACUCUAAGUGUGAUUGGACCAGGGAUUGACCAUAUAACUGGACAGUACUCUAAGUGUGAUGGUACCAGGGAUUCACCAUAGAACUGGACAGUACUCUAAGUGUGACAGGACCAGGGAUUGACCAUAUAACUGGACAGUACUCUAAGUGUAACAGGACCAGGGAUUGACCAUAUAACUGGACAGUACUCUAAGUGUGACCAUAUAACUGGACAGUACUCUAAGUGUGACAGGACCAGGGAUUGACCAUAUAACUGGACAGUACUCUAAGUGUUAUAGGACCAGGGAUUGACCAUAUAACUGGACAGUACUCUAAGUGUGAUUGGACCAGAGAUUGACCAUAUAACUGGACAGUACUCUAAGUGUGACAGGACCAGGGAUUGACCAUAUAACUGGACAGUACUCUAAGUGUAACAGGACCAGGGAUUGACCAUAUAACUGGACAGUACUCUAAGUGUGACUGGACCAGGGAUUGACCAUAUAACUGGACAGUACUCUUAAGUGUGAUAGGACCAGGGAUUGAAUCACCUGAUUCAGAGUGUUAGAUGUUACAUACUCUGAACAUUUUCUUGUCACAGUAAUUCCCUUAUCCAUCUUAAUAACAAUAUGAUCUAUGUGUUCUGACCAUGAUAAAGCUGCAUCCAACAUGACAGCUUGUAGUUUAGUUUUUUUCACUUCCUCUACAUGUAUUCUAUUCAUCGACAAAUUCAAUUGAGGAUCAUCAGCAAGCAUAUAUCUUGAACCAAAUGCAAUACAUUUAGUUUUAGAAAUGUUCAACACCAAUUUUGUUUAUUUCAAUCCACUCAGACACCAUUCUUAGUUCACUGCUCAGUACAUCUGUUAGCUCAUUACAUUCUGAGGCUGCGCUAUACAUUGUAGAGUCAUCAGCAUACAUAAUCACUCCUGCUUUGUUCAUUACUGAAGGUAAAUCAUUAGUAAACAUAGAGAAGUGAGCCUAGGGAAAUUCCUUGAGAAACACCACAGUGUUUUACUGUUUGAAAAGCUACCAUUAAAAAAAACACUUAAGAUAACUUUCCAUCCAGGAUAGAGCUGCAGACUUAAAACCAGGGCCAGCUUUGAUAUUGUAGUUUUCCUAGUGAGUGAGUCCUGAUUGAACGCUCUGUUGGACCUGUGGUAGAUUACCUUAGGGCCAGCCUUUGGCAUUUUAGUUUUCCUAGUGAGUGAGUCCUGAUCGAACCCUUUGUAGGAACUGCGGUAGAUUACGUUAGAGCCAGCCUUUGGUAUUUUUGAAUUUUCCUAGUGAGUACAACCAUGUUAUGAUCACUACAACCUAGUGCCACUGAUACAGCUUAAGAACAACGUUCAGCCAUGUUGGUAAAAAUGUGAUCGAUACAAGAAUGAUGAUGUGAUACCGGACCAAUCAGUGAACAUUCUGUUUGGUGAUGUCAUAACUUGGGUCAGGUUACAUGGCAACAGAAAUACGUUUCUUUCUCAUUGGACAGUUGGUGUUCAAAAAUAUCAAUAUUCAUAUCUCUCCCCCCCCAAUUUUUUUUUUUAUAUUUCCUUAUUUUCAUCAGAUACUUUUAUCCAACAUUUAGCAAAUUACAUCAACAUAUUUCACAUCAACACUAGAUGGCCUAUAGCAGCAACCAACUACUAUAGGUUUUAAAUGUGGUAAAUACACCUGUACCCAAAGUGCCUCUAAUCCAUUCAACAUUAAGUCCUUACGUUGUUUUACUGGAAUAUGAAUCUAGAUGUAAACUGCAAUUCCACACCCCCCCCCAUAUCUAUAUCUGUCCCUCCUGAACAUAUUGUGUCCAUGUAUAAAGAUCUCAGCAUCCUCAAUAGAAGAGUCCAAGUGAGUCUCUGAUAUUGCCAAUACAUUAAUAUUGUUUGACUGCACCAAACAGCAUAUUUCAUGAAUUGUGUUCCUUAAUAAAAACUGCAUAUAUUCAGAGUGAACAAUGAACAGACCUUUCUUUGGUAGAUUUACAGUAUGUAUACAUCCAAACAUGAAUCACCAGUUGGAAUCUGAGAGAGAGAUACUCAGUCAGUAUGUCUCUGUGUGUGUGUGUGUGUGUGUGUGUGUGUGUGUGUGUGUGUGUGUGUGUGUGUGUGUGUGUGUGUGUGUGUGUGUGUGUGUGUGUGUGUGUGUGUGUGUGUGUGUGUGUGUGUGUGUGUGUGUGUGUGUGUGUGUGUGUGUGCUUGCGUGGGGCUGGAAUUACUUGUGACUGUCGCUCCUCCUAACUCCUUGGGAGAGAGGGUGAACAAUCGGUUUGUCGUACCUCAGAUAUGUUAUGUCACCUCGUUCUCUUGCAGCCUUAAUGGCUGAUAUUAGUUCCUUUCUUCUUCUUUGACGGACUGCAUCUGAGAAAUCCUCAUUGACGAAGAUGAAGGACCCAUUAAGGUGUUGACUGGUUAUAGUUAUAGUAGUGGUAGUGACUGGUUAUAGUUAUAGUAGUGGUAGUGACUGGUUAUAGUUAUAGUAGUGGUAGUGUCUGGUUAUAGUAGUGGUAGUGACUGGUUAUAGUAGUGGUAGUGACUGGUUAUAGUAGUGGUAGUGACUGGUUAUAGUAGUGGUAGUGACUGGUUAUAGUAGUGGUAGUGUCUGGUUAUAGUAGUGGUAGUGACUGGUUAUAGUAGUGGUAGUGACUGGUUAUAGUAGUGGUAGUGACUGGUUAUAGUUAUAGUAGUGGUAGUGACUGGUUAUAGUAGUGGUAGUGACUGGUUAUAGUAGUGGUAGUGACUGGUUAUAGUUAUAGUAGUGGUAGUGACUGGUUAUAGUAGUGGUAGUGACUGGUAAUAGUAGUGGUAGUGUCUGGUUAUAGUAGUGGUAGUGACUGGUUAUAGUAGUGGUAGUGACUGGUUAUAGUAGUGGUAGUGACUGGUUAUAGUAGUGGUAGUGACUGGUUAUAGUAGUGGUAGUGACUGGUUAUAGUUAUAGUAGUGGUAGUGUCUGGUUAUAGUAGUGGUAGUGUCUGGUUAUAGUAGUGGUAGUGACUGGUUAUAGUAGUGGUAGUGACUGGUUAUAGUAGUGGUAGUGAAUGGUUAUAGUAGUGGUAGUGUCUGGUUAUAGUAGUGGUAGUGUCUGGUUAUAGUAGUGGUAGUGUCUGGUUAUAGUAGUGGUAGUGACUGGUUAUAGUAGUGGUAGUGUCUGGUUAUAGUAGUGGUAGUGACUGGUUAUAGUAGUGGUAGUGACUGGUUAUAGUAGUGGUAGUGACUGGUUAUAGUAAUGGUAGUGACUGGUUAUAGUAGUGGUAGUGUCUGGUUAUAGUAGUGGUAGUGUCUGGUUAUAGUUAUAGUAGUGGUAGGUACUGGUUAUAGUUAUAGUAGUGGUAGUGACUGGUUAUAGUUAUAGUAGUGGUAGUGUCUGGUUAUAGUAGUGGUAGUGUCUGGUUAUAGUAAUGGUAGUGUCUGGUUAUAGUAGUGGUAGUGACUGGUUAUAGUAGUGGUAGUGACUGGUUAUAGUAGUGGUAGUGACUGGUUAUAGUAGUGGUAGUGUCUGGUUAUAGUAGUGGUAGUGUCUGGUUAUAGUAGUGGUAGUGUCUGGUUAUAGUAGUGGUAGUGACUGGUUAUAGUAGUGGUAGUGUCUGGUUAUAGUAGUGGUAGUGACUGGUUAUAGUAGUGGUAGUGACUGGUUAUAGUAGUGGUAGUGACUGGUUAUAGUAAUGGUAGUGACUGGUUAUAGUAGUGGUAGUGUCUGGUUAUAGUAGUGGUAGUGUCUGGUUAUAGUUAUAGUAGUGGUAGUGACUGGUUAUAGUUAUAGUAGUGGUAGUGACUGGUUAUAGUAGUGGUAGUGACUGGUUAUAGUUAUAGUAGUGGUAGUGACUGGUUAUAGUUAUAGUAGUGGUAGUGACUGGUUAUAGUUAUAGUAGUGGUAGUGACUGGUUAUAGUAGUGGUAGUGACUGGUUAUAGUAGUGGUAGUGACUGGUUAUAGUAGUGGUAGUGACUGGUUAUAGUAGUGGUAGUGACUGGUUAUAGUAGUGGUAGUGUCUGGUUAUAGUAGUGGUAGUGUCUGGUUAUAGUUAUAGUAAUGGUAGUGACUGGUUAUAGUAGUGUCGGUGACUGGUUAUAGUACUGGUAGUGUCUGGUUAUAGUAGUGGUAGUGUCUGGUUAUAGUAGUGGUAGUGUCUGGUUAUAGUUAUAGUAGUGGUAGUGACUGGUUAUAGUAAUGGUAGUGACUGGUUAUAGUAGUGGUAGUGACUGGUUAUAGUAGUGUUAGUGUCUGGUUAUAGUAGUGGUAGUGACUGGUUAUAGUUAUAGUAAUGGUAGUGACUGGUUAUAGUAGUGGUAUUGUCUGGUUAUAGUUAUUGUAGUGGUAGUGUCUGGUUAUAGUAGUGGUAGUGUCUGGUUAUAGUUAUAGUAGUGAUAGUGACUGGUUAUAGUAGUGGUAGUGUCUGGUUAUAGUUAUAGUAGUGGUAGUGACUGGUUAUAGUAGUGGUAGUGACUGGUUAUAGUAGUGGUAGUGACUGGUUAUAGUAGUGGUAAUGACUGGUUAUAGUAAUGGUAGUGACUGGUUAUAGUAGUGGUAGUGACUGGUUAUAGUAGUGGUAGUGACUGGUUAUAGUAGUGGUAGUGACUGGUUAUAGUAGUGGUAGUGACUGGUUAUAGUAGUGGUAGUGACUGGUUAUAGUAGUGGUAGUGUCUGGUUAUAGUAGUGGUAGUGACUGGUUAUAGUAGUGGUAGUGACUGGUUAUAGUAGUGGUAGUGUCUGGUUAUAGUAGUGGUAGUGACUGGUUAUAGUAGUGGUAGUGACUGGUUAUAGUAGUGGUAGUGACUGGUUAUAGUAGUGACUGGUUAUAGUAGUGGUAGUGACUGGUUAUAGUAGUGGUAAUGACUGGUUAUAGUAAUGGUAGUGACUGGUUAUAGUAGUGGUAGUGACUGUGUCUGGUUAUAGUAGUGGUAGUGUCUGGUUAUAGUAGUGGUAGUGACUGGUUAUAGUAGUGGUAGUGACUGGUUAUAGUAGUGGUAGUGUCUGGUUAUAGUAAUGGUAGUGACUGGUUAUAGUUAUAGUAGUGGUAGUGAAUGGCUAUUGUAGUGGUAGUGUCUAAAGUAGUAAUGGUAAUGACUCAAGACAUGUAUAGAUGUCCGAUUUCGAAGUCACUCUUGAGC